CCCAGUCAAGGGACAAUUAAUUACCGUGAUGUGGAGUGCCGAAGAGCGAUAAAAGAAAGAGAGAAGACAGAAACAUGGACCUAAGAGCUGUUUGGACACAGAAGGAAGAACCCUGAUGAUCCAGCAUUCUUUGUCUUUUCAUUUCCAAAAGGGGAUUAUCUGGUCAGUGAAAUCUUUAUAAAGCAUUUACAAUAGUGCAGAAUUUUGUGUGGCAGUUUAAGUAAGUGUGCACCCUAUGAGGAAGUCAAGGAAGGUCUUGAUGUGACGCAGGCAGAAACUCCCUAAAAGAUUCAGCGCAUGGACUCAGGAGAGGGCAGCCAGAGAUGGCCGUGAGAA
rnacentral:lncRNA from 1 species